AUCUGUGCCUGAAAGUUAAGAUACACUU
rnacentral:tRNA from 1 species